UACGUAGGGUGCAAGCGUUGUCCGGAAUUAUUGGGCGUAAAGAGCUCGUAGGCGGUCUGUCGCGUCGGAUGUGAAAAUCCAGGGCUCAACCCUGGACCUGCAUUCGAUACGGGCAGACUAGAGUUCGGCAGGGGAGACUGGAAUUCCCGGUGUAGCGGUGAAAUGCGCAGAUAUCAGGAGGAACACCGGUGGCGAAGGCGGGUCUCUGGGCCGAUACUGACGCUGAGGAGCGAAAGCGUGGGGAGCGAACAGG
rnacentral:rRNA from 1 species